rnacentral:rRNA from 1 species
CAAAAGCGUAUAUUAAAGUUGUUGCAGUUAAAAAGCUCGUAGUUGAACCUUGGGCUUGGCUGGCCGGUCCAUCUUUUUUGAUGCGUACUGGACCCAGCCGAGCCUUUCCUUCUGGCCAGCCUUUUGGCGAACCAGGACUUUUACUUUGAAAAAAUUAGAGUGUUCAAAGCAGGCCUUUGCUCGAAUAUAUUAGCAUGGAAUAAUAGAAUAGGACGUUAUGGUUCUAUUUUGUUGGUUUCUAGGACCAUCGUAAUGAUUAAUAGGGACGGUCGGGGGUAUCAGUAUUCAGUUGUCAGAGGUGAAAUUCUUGGAUUUACUGAAGACUAACUACUGCGAAAGCAUUUACCAAGGACGUUUUCAUUAA